rnacentral:lncRNA from 1 species
CCAUUUAAAUCAGACUAACAGAAAUGUGCUUUCUCUGUCAUGGUUUUAAUAAGUCUAAGACUUAAGUCUAGUCCAGAAUUUAAUAGGCUAAUUUCCCAGAGAAAACUAGAGCAACUUCAGGACUACAUUGAGGCUUAAAUUAAACCUACCGGGAGGCAGGUUUAACUUCAGAUUAAUUUUGUUUGGAGGACACAUGGAUUACUUGGACUAUGUCAAUGAUGAUAGCGCUUUCCACCAGCCAGGCAAGUUCUUGCAGAUAGAAGUGACCCAUUGCAAUGUUUCUGGGGCAUAACCAAGGGGUUCAAUAAUUGAGCAGAGCUAUUUGUGAAUUAAAAGCACACUACAUAAACUUCCCUGAUGCUAGAAUCCAGGCUAACUACAAGGUACUAUUCUAUGAAUAUGGAAAUUUCCC